GACGGAAGAUCGCUGAUGAGGAAAAGCAGAAAGAAAUAAUUUAACUGAGCUUGAAAUGAAACAAGAGCUAGCGAAUCUCUGCUGGACAGCAGCGUGUCACUGUAGGAGCUGCUCAGUGCUGCUAGGAUGACCUGCAUGUGGUGGGAGUUAUUACACUGGUAUAGUAUGACUAUGUCACCUGCAGCCUCCAGCAGUACCAGUUACCUGAGACCACACAUCUCAGCGACGUGUGCGUGCCCAUCCCAGCAGGGGAAAGAGGGAAGCCCCAGCUGUCCCAGCAGAACACACCAUAAAAGAUGAUUGAUGUCACCCCAGAGUCAUAGACGGUCUUCAGAAACUCCAAAACAAUUGAAUCUAGGCUUCUAGGUGUCCAUCAGGUGUGAUGUCAGAGCCACCAGCCUGCAGCUGUUGUUCAUUUACAUCUGCCUAAUUGAUCAUUUAUCCUCAGCACACUUUUCAGUUCCCUUGCUGAAAUUGGACAAUAUGUAAAGUCUAAAUUCAAACAAAGGUUGGGGAAACCUGCACUGAGCCGAGACAGAAGAAGUCUGAAGUCGAACUCGGAUGAGUGACAGAGCGUUCCUGCUACUGAAAACUCUACGUCCAGAUGAACAAAAUGAACUUUUCGGGGCAGGUCCCCAGAUGUUUUCUCUUCUCAGAAUCCUCUUCACAGAUCGUAUCUCUUUUAUCUGACAUACAGUCAUGUGGAAAAGAGUGUUUUCAUGGGAAUCUAUAGAGUACUCUGAAAAACUAAGCACUGUACAUGAGUGAGUAGCUUGCAGAGCCACCUUUUAGCAGCAGUAGCGUCACCAAAUUGUUUCUAUAUGACUCUUAGUCUCCAUUCGCCUGACGUUUCUUUACAUCAUUUUGUCAGUUCAUUGAGGUUUGUGGUAUUUGUUUAUGUAAAGCCC